rnacentral:rRNA from 1 species
GGGGACCGUCCCUGUUGGAGCAGAAGCAAAAGGCAUAAGCACUCCGGAGUGGGAUUACAAGAGCAAAACUCAAAGUAAAAGGAAUUGGCCGGGGCAAGCACUAGCGCAUGUGCUUUAAUUUGAAUUAAAAGGAAGAACAUUAACAUGUCUUGACAUCGUCAUGUAAUUGUAAGGAUGGAAAAUGCCCGUCCGUCGUUCGAGACAACAGCACAGGCAUGGUAGUGGUGUGGUCAUGUCGUGUGAUGUUGUGUUAAGUUAAGUAACGAGAGCAGCCCAACAUCCUUCACUAGUCAUUUCAGGGGCAGUUGGGGGUGACUGCCGGUGACAAACCGGAGGAAGGUGGAGAUGAGGUCAAAUCAUCAGUCAUCAUGGCCUUGGGCUACGGGGACACCAAUGGAUGGUACAAAGGUACGCAAGGCCGCGAGGUCAAGCCAAUCCCAUAAAACCAUUAUCAGUUUGGAUUUCAGGAUGCAAGUCGCCAACUUGAAGCCGGAAUGGUUGGUAAUCGAGGAUUAGCAUGUCGCGGUGAAUACGUUCCCGGGCUUUGUACACACCGCCCGUCACACCAGGAGAGUUUGUAACACCGGAAGUAGGUGGGGUAACUGUAAGGAGCCAGCCGCCUAAGGUGGGACAGAUGAUUGGGGUGAAGUCGUAACAAGGUAGCCGUAUCGGAAGGUGCGGCUGGAUCACCUCCUAAUCUAGAUGCAUCGCGAGUCAGC